UGGGAUUCCCAUGAUGCAACAGCAGCAGCCGCAGCAGGGUCCUCCACAAACAGAGGCCGUGAGAAGAUUCAAGCGCUUUCUGAUGAGGAGGGCUCACACCAUGAAACCUGAUUUGGAUAUUCAGAUUUCGACUGAGACAACUCCAUCCCCAACUACUUGUUAAGACAAUAUUCAAGUUUAGAGUGGACAAAUUGGAGAGGAACAAGGUGUCUACUGUAGAAGAUGGACGCAGGGGAAUUUCACAAAAUCGUCCACAACACUAUAAGUUAAUCAUAUCAGAUACCCUAGCGGUAUAACCGAAAGGUUGCUGAUUCAAAUCCC